rnacentral:pre_miRNA from 1 species
AGUACAAUUGCUGGGUUAUAUGGUAGUUGCAUUUUUUUUUUUUUUAAAGAGACUACCAAACUGUAUUCCAGAGUGGCUGUACCAUUUUAUAUUCCCACCAGCAAU